AGUCACAAAUCAUCGCGUCGCCUUCGCUGGUCCCUUUCUCUUAUCGAGCCUCAGUUUUCUCUUCCAUAAGCCGGGCCAGCAGUGCCCACCCCACAGGUUGGCGCCAGCUCCGUAAGGGCCCUACCACCGCGGCCGGCCAGAUCCUCGGCGGGCCAGUCCUGGCGCUGCGGUCAUUUAGCCUGAUGACCCCUGGCCAGGUUCAGCCUCAAUUGCUCCAAAGAACUCCGGACCCGUACCCCGAGCCCGGCGUCCCAGCGGCGAAGUUGAUGGGCCCCGCAGGAGCCCUUGCGGGCCCUGGAAAUGGGGGAUCUCCUGCCUUGACAGCUCAUCAGUACGUGUGAAAAGCCAACAAGAGUGGAUAUGAUAGGAACUGCAAUCACACAGCACUUUGGAGAAUGUGAAGAUUGGUGCUCACAGCAGAAGUUAACACACUGAUGCUGUGAUCACUGUUCAGUAGGUGGAAUGG
ensembl:lncRNA ALDH1L1-AS2 ALDH1L1 antisense RNA 2